rnacentral:rRNA from 1 species
UCAGGACGAACGCUGGCGGCGCGCCUAACACAUGCAAGUCGAACGGAGCAUUGAAGCUUGCUUUGAUGCUUAGUGGCGAACGGGUGAGUAACGCGUGAGGAACCUGCCUUCCAGUGGGGGACAACAGUUGGAAACGACUGCUAAUACCGCAUAACGCAGCUAGAUCGCAUGAUCUUACUGCCAAAGCUUUAUGUGCUGGAAGAUGGCCUCGCGUCUGAUUAGCUAGUUGGUGAGGUAACGGCUCACCAAGGCGACGAUCAGUAGCCGGUCUGAGAGGAUGAACGGCCACAUUGGGACUGAGACACGGCCCAGACUCCUACGGGAGGCAGCAGUGGGGAAUAUUGGGCAAUGGGCGAAAGCCUGACCCAGCGACGCCGCGUGAGGGAAGAAGGUCUUCGGAUUGUAAACCUCUGUUGAUAGGGAAGAAGAAAGUGACGGUACCUAUCGAGGAAGUCACGGCUAACUACGUG